rnacentral:rRNA from 1 species
AGAAUCAACGCUGGCGGCGUGCCUAACACAUGCAAGUCGCACGAGAAAGGGGAGCAAUCACUGAGUACAGUGGCGCACGGGUGAGUAACACGUGAAUAAUCUACCUCCGAGUGGGGAAUAACUGAGAGAAAUCUUAGCUAAUACCGCAUAACACUUACGAGUCAAAGCAGCAAUGCGCUUGGAGAGGAGUUCGCGGCCGAUUAGUUAGUGGCGGGGUAAUGGCCCACCAGACGAUGAUCGGUA